UCCUGUAACAGUUUCUAGAUGAUGAUGAUAGUUCAAUCCUGUAACAGUUUCUAGAUGAUGAUGAUAGUUCACUCCUGUAACAGUUUCUAGAUGAUGAUAGUUCAAUCCUGUAACAGUACUAGAUGACGAUAGUUCACUCCUGUAACAGUUUCUAGAUGACGAUAGUUCACUCCUGUAACAGUACUAGAUGACGAUAGUUCACUCCUGUAAGAGUUUCUAGAUGAUGAUGAUAGUUCAAUCCUGUAACAGUUUCUAGAUGAUGAUAGUUCACUCCUGUAACAGUUUCUAGAUGACGAUAGUUCACUCCUGUAACAGUACUAGAUGACGAUAGUUCACUCCUGUAACAGUACUAAAUGAUGCUUUAGUAAACAGAAUUGGAAUUUGAACUGAAGGAAAGAUGGCCAGCACUUUGACAGAAUAAGCUUNNNNNNNNNNGAUAGUUCACUCCUGUAAGAGUUUCUAUAUGAUGAUGAUAGUUCAAUCCUGUAACAGUUUCUAUAUGAUGAUGAUAGUUCAAUCCUGUAACAGUACUAGAUGACGAUAGUUCACUCCUGU
rnacentral:lncRNA from 13 species